CUACCUGAUGACAAGCUGUCGCCCCAAACGGAAACAUAAUGACCGAUUCGAUUUUUUCAUGCCAAACACAUUGAACUCUGAAG
rnacentral:snoRNA from 1 species